GGAUUAAAUAUUUUUAUUAGUGCAGCGAUAUGUACACCUUAAGUCAUAAUCUGUGCUGUCUGAAAUUAUGGGGCCAUCACAAGCAGAUAUAGAAUGACAAUGUGAGAAUCUAAAACUAUGUGAACAUAAAAAACUAUUGGAUCUAGAUUAAGGAAAACAAGUAAUCAAGAUCAAGUUCCUAGGUUGCAGGACUCAAGAAAGCUCAGAGUCAAACCAACUCAGAAUAGUAUCAGAAUGUUACUUAUUACUUUUGUCACUUGAGUAUGAGUUUCACUCUACGAAUGCUUAUUUGCUCAGCAUUCCUUUCUCAAAAUUUCUAACUAUGUUACCAUUGGUUCACCUCCUACAUCCUUGGACUACCCCUUUCUUACCAUACCCCCUCAGAUCUUCAUCUAUAUAUCUCCAUACCAUCUCAAUCAAUUCUCCACAACCUACAACUCCUCUAAUGGAGUGACUUUUUACUUCACACUUCAUCCGAGCAUUCUCAUUUCUACCAUGUUCACUU
rnacentral:lncRNA from 1 species